GUUGCCUACGGGACGCAGCAGUGGGGAAUAUUGCACAAUGGGGGAAACCCUGAUGCAGCAACGCCGCGUGAGUGAAGAAGUAUUUCGGUAUGUAAAGCUCUCUCAGCAGGGAAGAAGAUGACGGUACCUGAAUAAGAAGCCCCGGCUAACUACGUGCCAGCAGCCGCGGUAAUACGUAGGGGGCAAGCGUUAUCCGGAAUCACUAGGUGUAAAGGGAGCGUAGACGGCUGUGCAAGCCUGAAGUGAAAGGCGGGGGCCCAACCCCUGGACUGCUUUGGGAACUGUACGGCUGGAGUGCAGGAGAG
rnacentral:rRNA from 1 species